CACGGGGGUUGCGAGCGUUAUCCGGAUUUAUUGGGUUUAAAGGGUGCGUAGGCUGGUAAUUAAGUCAGUGGUGAAAUACUCCGGCUCAACCGGGGGGCUGCCGUUGAUACUGGUUACCUUGAGUUUAGAUGAUGUGGGCGGAAUGUGUCAUGUAGCGGUGAAAUGCAUAGAGAUGACACAGAACACCGAUAGCGAAGGCAGCUCACAAAGCUAUUACUGACGCUGAUGCACGAAAGUGUGGGGAUCAAACAGGAUUAGA
rnacentral:rRNA from 1 species